rnacentral:rRNA from 1 species
UACGGGGGGGGCAAGCGUUGUUCGGAAUUACUGGGCGUAAAGGGCUCGUAGGCGGCCAACUAAGUCGGAUGUGAAAUCCCCAGGCUUAACCUGGGAACUGCAUCCGAUACUGGAUGGCUUGAAUCCGGGAGAGGGAUGCAGAAUUCCAGGUGUAGCGGUGAAAUGCGUUGAUAUCGGAAGGAACGCCGGUGGCGAAAGCGAUCCGCUGGACCUCUUCUGACGCUGAGGCGCGAAAGCGUGGGGAGCAAACAGG